rnacentral:lncRNA from 1 species
AUAAUCAUCUUAGAUCUCCGUAGAAAUGAUCCCUACUCACCCUAUCUAUAUAGUUUGAGUUGAUUUUUAUUCUUGACCGCCUACGACAGCGAUCAACUAGAGAUGUGAACAGUGGUUGGUUAUUCGGCAGAGGAUCUAGAGCAGCAGCAGAAGUAAGGCACCGAUAGAGAGCAGGAGCAGAGGCUUUAGAUAGACUAUCAGGCAGUGGAUAGUGAUCGCUUC